rnacentral:tRNA from 1 species
CAGGGAGACAACAAAAUGUUUAUAUUAUUAUUAUUUUGUCACCUUAGGUCGAUCGGCAUCUCACGUUCUUGAUUAUUUAAGAAUUUCAUUUCCUAAGUUUUUUCUAGGUCACACCCAUUAUUUUCCUGGGCCAUUAGCUCAGGUGGUUAGAGCGCACCCCUGAUAAGGGUGAGGUCCCUGGUUCAAGUCCAGGAUGGCCCAUACUCUAUGUUGGGGGUAUAGCUCAGUUGGUAGAGCGCCUGCUUUGCAAGCAGGAUGUCAGCGGUUCGAGUCCGCUUACCUCCACUGAUUACCACCUCUUGCAUAAUUUGUAGAUAGGAAAUGUUUUGAGUUGUGAUCAAAUUCUGAACGAAUCUAGCUUCCUAAUGAAUUCAUUAAGAUGCUGGACUCAUUGAAUUAAUUUCAUUGUUUUCAGAGAACCUUGACAACUGCAUAGAUUAUUUUUAAAGACAAUAAGCAUCUUUAAUGAUGCAGAUUUAUUAUUUGUGCAAAUGCAUUAAUAACAAUUCUAUUAAGCUGAUGCUUCAA